UACGUAGGGUGCAAGCGUUGUCCGGAAUUAUUGGGCGUAAAGGGCUCGUAGGCGGUUUGUCACGUCGGGAGUGAAAACUCGGGGCUACCAGCCCGACUCGCUUCCGAUACGGGCAGACUAGAGGUAUGCAGGGGAGAAUGGAAUUCCUGGUGUAGCGGUGAAAUGCGCAGAUAUCAGGAGGAACACCGGUGGCGAAGGCGGUUCUCUGGGCAUUACCUGACGCUGAGGAGCGAAAGUGUGGGGAGCGAACAGG
rnacentral:rRNA from 1 species